rnacentral:rRNA from 1 species
GAUGAACGCUGGCGGCGUGCCUAAUACAUGCAAGUCGAACGCAUUGUGGUUGAAAUGAUAUGAAGAACUUGUUCAGACUUGAUUUUCAACAUUGCAAUGAGUGGCGAACGGGUGAGUAACACGUGGGAAACCUACCUCUUAGCGAGGGGAUAACAUUUGGAAAACAAAUGCUAAUACCGUAUAAUAAUUAAAACCGCAUUGGUUUUAAGUUUAAAAGAUGGUCUUGCUAUCACAAAGAGAUGGUCCCGCGGUGUAUUAAGUUAGUUGGUGAGGUAAUGGCUCACCAAGACAAUGAUACAUAGCCGAGUUGAGAGACUGACCGGCCACAAUGGGAGUGAGAC